GACGAACGCUGGCGGCGUGCUUAACACAUGCAAGUCGAACGGAAAGGCCCUGCUUUUGUGGGGUGCUCGAGUGGCGAACGGGUGAGUAACACGUGAGUAACCUGCCCUUGACUUUGGGAUAACUUCAGGAAACUGUGGCUAAUACCGGAUAGGAGCUCCUGCUUCAUGGUGGGGGUUGGAAAGUUUCGGCGGUUGGGGAUGGACUCGCGGCUUAUCAGCUUGUUGGUGGGGUAGUGGCUUACCAAGGCUUUGACGGGUAGCCGGCCUGAGAGGGUUACCGGCCACAUUGGGACUGAGAUACGGCCCAGACUCCUACGGGAGGCAGAAGUGGGGAAUAUUGCACAAUGGGCGGAAGCCUGAUGCAGCAACGACGCGUGCGGGAUGACGGCCUUCGGGUUGUAAACCGCUUUCGCCUGUGACGAAGCGUGAGUGACGGUAAUGGGUAAAGAAGCACCGGCUAACUACGUG
rnacentral:rRNA from 1 species